rnacentral:tRNA from 1 species
UCCCUGGUGGCUCAGAGGGUAAAGCAUCUGCCUGCAAUGCGGGAGACCUGGGUUUGAUCCCUGGGUCGGGAA